AGUGAACGCUGGCGGUAGGCCUAACACAUGCAAGUCGAACGGCAGCACAGGAGAGCUUGCUCUCUGGGUGGCGAGUGGCGGACGGGUGAGGUAUACAUCGGAAUCUACUCUGUCGUGGGGGAUAACGUAGGGAAACUUACGCUAAUACCGCAUACGACCUACGGGUGAAAGCAGGGGAUCUUCGGACCUUGCGCGAUUGAAUGAGCCGAUGUCGGAUUAGCUAGUUGGCGGGGUAAAGGCCCACCAAGGCGACGAGCCGUAGCUGGUCUGAGAGGAUGAUCAGCCACACUGGAACUGAGACACGGUCCAGACUCCUACGGGAGGCAGCAGUGGGGAAUAUUGGACAAUGGGCGCAAGCCUGAUCCAGCCAUACCGCGUGGGUGAAGAAGGCCUUCGGGUUGUAAAGCCCUUUUGUUGGGAAAGAAAUCCAGCUGGCUAAUACCCGGUUGGGAUGACGGUACCCAAAGAAUAAGCACCGGCUAACUUCGUGCCAGCAGCCGCCGUAA
rnacentral:rRNA from 1 species